AGAGAACGCUGGCGGUAGGCCUAACACAUGCAAGUCGAACGGCAGCACAGGAGAGCUUGCUCUCUGGGUGGCGAGUGGCGGACGGGUGAGGAAUACAUCGGAAUCUACUCUGUCGUGGGGGAUAACGUAGGGAAACUUACGCUAAUACCGCAUACGACCUACGGGUGAAAGCAGGGGACCUUCGGGCCUUGCGCGAUUGAAUGAGCCGAUGUCGGAUUAGGCUAGUUGGCGGGGUAAAGGCCCACCAAGGCGACGAUCCGUAGCUGGUCUGAGAGGAUGGUCAGCCACACUGGAGCUGAGACACGGUCCAGACUCCUACGGGAGGCAGCAGUGGGGAAUAUUGGACAAUGGGCGCAAGCCUGAUCCAGCCAUACCGCGUGGGUGAAGAAGGCCUUCGGGUUGUAAAGCCCUUUUGUUGGGAAAGAAAUCCAGCUGGCUAAUACCCGGUUGGGAUGACGGUACCCAAAGAAUAAGCACCGGCUAACUUCGUGCCAGCCGCCGCCGUAA
rnacentral:rRNA from 1 species